UAGGGAAUCUUCGGCAAUGGACGAAAGUCUGACCGAGCAACGCCGCGUGAGUGAAGAAGGUUUUCGAAUCGUAAAACUCUGUUGUUAGAGAAGAACAAGGACGUUAGUAACUGAACGUCCCCUGACGGUAUCUAACCAGAAAGCCACGGCUAACUACGUGCCAGCAGCCGCGGUAAUACGUAGGUGGCAAGCGUUGUCCGGAUUUAUUGGGCGUAAAGCGAGCGCAGGCGGUUUCUUAAGUCUGAUGUGAAAGCCCCCGGCUCAACCGGGGAGGGUCAUUGGAAACUGGGAGACUUGAGUGCAGAAGAGGAGAGUGGAAUUCCAUGUGUGGCGGUGAAAUGCGUAGAUAUAUGGAGGAACACCAGUGGCGAAGGCGGCUCUCUGGUCUGUAACUGACGCUGAGGCUCGAAAGCGUGGGGAGCAAACAGG
rnacentral:rRNA from 1 species